AUGACACCUCUCUCAGAGAAACUCACCCCAGCCCCCACCACGGCCAGAGACCCAGCUGCCACGGUGCCCAGCAGCCUCGCCGUCCGGGUCCUGGCCACGCAGGGUGCUCACGCCUCUGCCGGGGCGGCCUCCUGGCUCCUGUGCGAGGUGUCGGGCUUCUCGCCCCCGGAGCUGCUCCUCACCUGGCAGGAGGGCCGGCGCCAGGUGGACUCUUCUUGGUUUGCCACCGCAGCGCCCACAGCCGAGCCUGGAAACAGCAUGUUCCACACCUGGAGUGUCCUGCGGGUCCCGGCCACCCCCGGCCCCCCGCUGGCCACCUACACGUGCAAGGUCAGGCCCCCGGCCUCGGAGGCUGCUCAACGCCAGCUGGAGCCUGGACACUGCAGGCCGCCCAUUGUGCACGGCACCCAGACCCUGCCCUGUCUUCGCCCUCCAGGCCCCCGGGGACGGGAUGGGCAUGCUGGGCCAGGCCGUGAGCAGGACACCAUCCAGGCCGCCCAGCGCUCACCUGCCAACCUGUGCUCGGUGUCCACAGCACCACAGGCUGCGCGGGUCAUGGAGAUGGCCCUGCCCCCUGGCCCUGCCCCGCCCCUCUGGGGCCCCCUGAGCAUGCACGAGGACUGUGAUGGCUAUGCUGACCUGGACGAUGCCAGCUGCCUCGGCUUCGUCACCUUCGUCAACGUGAAGGGCAGGGACAUCCAAGGGGCUCGCUGGAGCCGGCCAGGGACUGUGCGGAGCCGGGAAACCCGGGCAGGAGGACAGCUUCUCUGUGGGCGCUCAUGGUCACGUGGCCCCUCUCUUACAGCCCCCACCACGGCCCCGUCGGUCUUCCCGCUGUCCCCCAAAUGUGGCACCACGUCCGGCUCCACGGUGUCCCUGGGCUGCCUGAUCUCUGGCUACUUCCCGGAGCCCGUGACUGUGACCUGGAACUCGGGCUCCCUGACCAGCGGGGUGCACACCUUCCCACCCGUCCUCCGCUCGGGCCUCUACUCUCGGAGCAGCAUGGUGACGGUGCCCACCAGCUCGUCCGGCGAGACCUUCAUCUGCAACGUAGCCCACCCGGCCAGCAGCACCAAGGUGGACAAGAUCGUGCCCGUAAUUGAUAGAACCAAACCCACCUGCCCGCCUCACACGUGCCCACCUUGUGAGAACCCGGGAGGGCCCUCGGUCUUCAUCUUCCCCCCGAAACCCAAGGACACCCUCAUGAUCUCCCGGACACCCGAGGUCACGUGCAUGGUGGUGGACGUGGCCCCGGAUGACCUGGAAGUCGAGUUCACCUGGUACGUGGACAACAAUAAGAUGAAAAAUGAGAAGGUGAAGGCGCAGCAGCAGCUGUUCAACAGCACCUACCGUGUGGUCAACACCUUCCCCAUCUUGCACCAGGACUGGCUGAAGGCCAAGGUGUUCAAGUGCAAGGUCAACAACAAGGCCAUCCCCUCCCCCAUCGAGAGGACCAUCUCCAAGGCCAUAGGGCAAGUCCGGGAGCCACAGGUGUACGUCCUGGGCCCACACUCGGACGAGAUGGCCAGGGACAAGGUCAGUGUGACCUGCCUGGUCAAAGACUUCUUCCCGACGGACAUCAGCGUGGAGUGGCAGAGCAACGGGCGGCCAGAGCCUGAGACCAAGUACUCCUCGACCCCGCCCCAGAAGGACCAGGAGGGCUCCUUCUUCCUGUACAGCAAGCUCACCGUGGACAAGGCCCGCUGGCAGCGGGGGGACCCCUUCACGUGCGAGGUGAUGCACGAGGCCCUGCACAACCACUACACCCAGAAGACCAUCUCCCGGAACCCGGGUAAAUGAGCAGCGCGUCCAGCGCCCAGCGACCCCCCAUGUACAUACCCUCGGGCACCCAGCAUUCAAUAAAGCACCCAGCAUGGCCCUGGGACCCUGCGA